rnacentral:lncRNA from 1 species
CCGCGGCUGUUAAUGUGCCACGCGUUCUGUAACGUUAGGAAAGGAGGUAGCAACAUUUUUAAAAGCUUUACUCUGUCAUUAAAAGGUAUUGGCUUUGUUUUAGAAGGAAGAGGGAGAGGUUCAUUUGAAGGUUAGAAAGCAUACACUUUAAUAGGAUCGAAGUGAAAUUAGUUAAUAAGAAAAUGCUGGCCAGAAGCUCUCUGGGCUUUUAAGUGCUCUUCAGGCCAUUUAGGGAAAUUGAAUAAGAACAGACUCCGUUACCUGCAGCCCAACUAUUAUCUUCAGUUCUGCACAGAGGCGAGAAGGGAAAAAUAGUGCCUGAGAGACCUGAAGUCCCCUACACCUCCUGCCAGCCUGUUUCCUCGAGAAAUAAUGCCCCCUUUCUGCUCGCGGGCGUGUUCCCUGCUUCCGCUUGUAAGCAGCCCAGGCUACAGUGUGUACCACAAGGGGGUAAGCAAAGAUUUUCCAUCGCCCAUCGGAAUGAGUGGCUGGUGUGCCUCGCCGGUGUCAGCGUGGCUCCGUGACUCCGGCGAGGCCGGUCCCGGCGCUGCGCGGGAGCGGAG